rnacentral:rRNA from 1 species
AGUCGAGCGAAGCACUUACUUUAGAUUUCUUCGGAAUGAUGAGGUUUGUGACUGAGCGGCGGACGGGUGAGUAACGCGUGGGCAACCUGCCCUGUACAGGGGGAUAACAGUUAGAAAUGACUGCUAAUACCGCAUAAGCCCACAGCUUCGCAUGAAGCAGUGGGAAAAACUCCGGUGGUACAGGAUGGGCCCGCGUCUGAUUAGCUAGUUGGUAAGGUAACGGCUUACCAAGGCGACGAUCAGUAGCCGACCUGAGAGGGUGACCGGCCACAUUGGGACUGAGACACGGCCCAAACUCCUACGGGAGGCAGCAGUGGGGAAUAUUGCACAAUGGGGGAAACCCUGAUGCAGCGACGCCGCGUGAGCGAUGAAGUAUUUCGGUAUGUAAAGCUCUAUCAGCAGGGAAGAAAGUGACGGUACCUGACUAAGAAGCCCCGGCUAACUACGUGCCAGCAGCCGCGGUAAUACGUAGGGGGCAAGCGUUAUCCGGAUUUACUGGGUGUAAAGGGAGCGUAGACGGAAGUGCAAGUCUGAAGUGAAAGCCCGGGGCUCAACCCCGGGACUGCUUUGGAAACUGUAUUUCUAGAGUGCUGGAGAGGUAAGUGGAAUUCCUAGUGUAGCGGUGAAAUGCGUAGAUAUUAGGAGGAACACCAGUGGCGAAGGCGG